ensembl:lncRNA
GGGGGAUAACAGCUCUGCAGUGUGAUAAGACAGAAUCCUUAGAUCACUUGUUUUGGUACUGACCAUACAGUGCAUUCAGACCCCUUCAUUUUUUCCACAUUUUGUUACAUUACAGUCUUAUUCUAAAAUGUAUAAAAUGUUUUUUUUCCCUCAUCAAUCUACACGCAAUAACCCACAAUGACAAAGCAAAAACAGGUUGUCAGAAAUUGGUGCAAAUUUAUAAUUUAAUAAACCCAGAAAUAUCACAUUUACAUGAGUAUUCAGACCUUUUCCACAGUACUUUGUUGAAGCACCUUUGGCAGCGAUUACUGCCUCGAGUCUUCUUGGGUAGGAUGCGACAAGCUUGGCACACCUGUAUUCAGAGAGUUUAUCCCAUUCUUCUCUGCAGAUCCUCUCAAGCUCUGUCAGUUUGGAUGGGGAGUGUUGCUGCACAGCUAUUUUCAUCUUUCCAGAAAUGUUACAUCGUUUUCAAGUCCGGGCUCUGGCUGGGCCACUCAAGGGCAUUCAGAGACUUGUCCCCAAGCCACUCCUGCAUUGUCUUGGCAGUGUGCUUAGGGUCAUUGUCCUGUUGGAAGGUGAACCUUCGCCCCAUUCUGAGGUCCCCUGUCUGAGGUCCAAUCAAAUCAAAUGUAUUUAUAUAGUCCUUCGUACAUCAGCUGAUAUCUCAAAGUGCUGUACAGAAACCCAGCCUAAAAUCCCAAACAGCAAGCAAUACAGGUGUUGAAGCACGUUGGCGAGGAAAAACUCCCUAGAAAGGCCAAAACCUAGGAAGUAACCUAGAGAGGAACCAGGCUAUGAGGGGUGGCCAGUCCUCUUCUGGCUGUGCCGGGUGGAGAUUAUAACAGAACAUGGCCAAGAUGUUCAAAUGUUCAGAAAUGACCAGCAUGGUCAAAUAAUAGGUCUGGGACAGGUAGCACGUCUGGUGAACAGGUCAGGAUUCCAUAGCCGCAGGCAGAACAGUUGAAACUGGAGCAGCAGCACAGCCAGGUGGACUGGGGACAGCAAGUAGUCAUCAUGCCAGGUAGUCCUGAGGCAUGGUCCUAGGGCUCAGGUCCUCCGAGAGAGAGAAAGAAAGAGAGAAAGAAAGAGAGAAUUAGAGAGAGCAUACUUAAAUUCACACAGGACACCGGAUAAGACAGGAGAAGUACUCCAGAUAUAACAAACUGACCCUAGCCCCCCGACACAUAAACUACUGCAAGGAUCUCUCUUUACUUUGCUCCGUUCAUUUUUCCCUCGAUCCUGCCUAGUCUCCCAGUCCCUGCCCGCUGAGAAACAUCCCCACAGCAUGAUGCUGCCACCACCAUGCUUCACCGUAGGGAUGAUGCCAGGUUUCCUCCAGAUGUGAUGCUUGGCAUUCAGGCCAAAGAGUUCAAUCUCGGUUUCGUCAGACCGUCUGGCCUCUCUACCAUAAAAGCCUGAUUUGUGGAGUGCUACAGAGAUGGUUGUCCUUCUGGAAGGUUCUCCCAUCUCCACAGAGAAACUCUGGAGAACGUCAGAGUGACCAUCGGGUUCUUGGUCACUUCCCUGACCAAGGCUCUUCUACCCCGAUUGCUCAGUUUGGCCGGGCAGCCAGCUCUAGGAAGAGUCCUGGUGGUUCCAAACUUAUUCAAUUUAAGAAUGAUGUAGGUCACUGUGUUCUUGGGGACCUUCAAUGCUGCAGACAUGUUUUGGUACCCUUUCCCAGAUCUGUGCCUCGACACAAUCCUGUCUCAGAGGUCUACGAACAAUUCCUUCAACCUCAUGGCGUGGUUUAUGCUCUGACAUGCACUGUCAACUGUGGUACCUUAUACAGACAGGUGUGUGCCUUUCCAAAUCAUGUCCAAUGAAUUGAAUUUACCACAGGUAAAUUGGGUAUAUACAUUAUACUGGAGACCCAUUGGGGUUUUUACCUUAUACUGUAGACCCAAUGGAUAUAUACAUUAUAAUGUAGACCCACGCUGUGGGCGUGUGAUGACUGUAGAGAGUUCUUCAGCCCACCUGACAGGAGGGCCCUUGGCCAACACAAAGCUGGCCCUGGAGAGGGUGCCCAUCCAGGGGGAGCCCUGAGGAAACUCCCCCCUACCACUCAGGAGGACCCAGAGUAUUUCAACACAUUCUCAGUCAAAUAAAUACCUCCAGGUCAUCUAGCUUUACUCAGUGUUUGUUUACUAUUUAUUACAUGUCUCCAUAAACAAUGUGCUGUGUUAGCUUGGGAGUAAACAUAAAGACAAUAAUUCAUCAAUCCAGAAUGAGUCAUCAAAAUGAGACUAAUGUUAUCAACUAGGAACGGGUAUUAAUGGGUGGAUUAAAACACAAAUUUCUUUGCUACAUGCAGAUUUGAAAUGUGUGUUUCUGUCAAAUAAAACUGUGCUGUAAUCUUAAUCUUGUUAUUGUAAUUAAUCAAUAUUUAAAUUGUGAUGUAACAAUGGACUGGAGUCACAAUAAUUUGUGAAGACUCAUUGUGACAUAAUGCACAAGGUGUUUCAUUUGCAAUGUCACGGAUUCCGUUAAACAGAUUCCGUUACAUUAGAUAUUAAAUGAUAAAGAUUCUACUUCAGUGUCUUCAUUCAUAACCUGCUCAUUUACUGUGGUUGUGAUGUGUGCUUACAUUUCUGUGUGAAUAUUUAAGUAAUUUCUUAUUCAAUAGUUUGAAGAAUACAAGUCAAAUAUUUGAGUAUAAAUUACAGGCUGCCAUCCUGUUAUUGUUGAACAUUAUUAGUGGUAAGUCAAUGUCCAUCAUUUUUGUUUAGUUUUUCAGUUACAAACAUGACAGACAUAGACAGUCUUUAUUGUCUGUAAGUUUAUUUUAAUUGACUUAACUCUUAUAUUCUGCAGUCAUCAUCACUCGGAAGUCCAAAGGAAAGAAAACAGAUUCUGUAAAUAGCCUGAAGUAAACGUUUUAUUCAAGGUUUGUAUCUCUCUUUUACUACAAACGUAUUGAUCUAAAGGACUCUAACUUUGUAUUUUUUAUGGUUCUGUGGGUCAGUUGGUAUUUACAUGUUUCGUGAUCGCAUACAUGAUUUUGUGAUGCGAUUAAUGGUUACAUGGAGAUCAAUAUGCUACCAGCAUCUGCUGUUGUGUAAUAAUGUCUAAGUUUACUGAGUAUGCUGUGUCACAAGUUGGCUCCCCUGCCUGUUCGGGCGGUGCUCGGAGGUCUUCGUCACCGUCCUACUAGCCACUACCGAUCCCUUUUUUGUUUGUCUGUUGGUUUUGUCUUAUUAGUUUCACCUGUGUGUAUUUUAGUUUAAUUAGCGUCCUUAUAUAUAGUAGGUUGUCCCGCCCUUGUUUUGUGCGGGAUUGUUUUUGUUACUCUGUUGUAUGGUGGUUUUUCGUGUAUGUAUUCUCCGGACUAUUUUGGUCCUGUGUUUUGGGCUGGUUAAACGGCGUGACCGUUUUGUGCGCUGGAGAAUAAAUUGACACUCUACUGAACCCUGCUCUCUGCGCCUGAUUCCACCCACCACUCCUAGUAUCUCGUGACAUGCUGACUGUGGGAUGAAGUCAUUUAGGAGCCACAAUCAGCAUGUGGUAUUGUACCCUCCCCUCCCCUAACAGAUUGACUGGCCUUUCCUGCAGACUAUUGACAAAGAAUAUAUUAACACCAACACUAAACAAGACAAACAGUGAGUAAAGAUGGGGGAAGAUGGCGCUUUCCUGCAUUUUUGGGGGUUUGGAAAUGUUGUCAUUUCCAAUUUAAAAGAAAUGUCUAUGGUUUAUGGUCGUCAAUAGUCACUCCUUUCAUGCUGGAUAUGUUUGAAGAACAUUACAUUUUUCCACAUAUAUUUUCAAGAUACUUUUUCAAUGUAAAGGAGUAUUACAAUGGUCAUGCCAUGAAAGUGGGGGCCUAUUUAAAAAUAGUAGUUGGGCCAGAUUAUACAGAAAUGGCCCACAGAGAAAUCUAUGUGACAUCAUAGAAAAUGGAAAAAGCCUGCAGAGAAUGACGUUGAAAAUGCGGAACUGGCCAAUAUGUUGAAAUAAUCCUUCAUUAGAAUGACUUCCUGCUGGGAUCGUUGAAUGAGUAUUGCAAUGGAUUCUGUUGGAUAGGGUCCUGUUUUGGGGAGGAAUCCGAAGUGCCCUUUCUCAUGUUCUAUAACCCCCUGCAGAGAGUUAAAAUGUGUUCUAUAACCCCCUGCAGAGAGUUAAAAUGUGUUCUAUAACCCCCUGCAGAGAGUUAAAAUGUGUUCUAUAACCCCCUGCAGAGAGUUAAAAUGUGUUCUAUAACCCCCUGCAGAGAGUUAAAAUGUGUUCUAUAACCCCCUGCAGAGUAUCAUCACGUGUUCUAUAACCCCCUGCAGAGAGUUAAAAUGUGUUCUAUAACCCCUGCAGAAGUAUUAUCACGUGUUCUAUAACCCACUGCAGAGUAUCAUCACGUGUUCUAUAACCCACAGCAGAGUAUCAUCACGUGUUCU